GGAACAGUUUUAGGAUGGUAGCUGCUGCUUCUUCUUCUUCUUCUGUCAGAUGCGGUGCGAGUCGAGAGUCUGCAUUUUUAUUUUAACCUAACAUUUUUUAAGGCACGCGUGUCCAGUCCAAAAACGUGUUUCCCAUUUCCAGAAAUUCCGGAAAAGCCUUGCCGGCAUGUCAUCCCAUUUCUGACAUAGGGAAACGCCACCAUUCUCGUUUCCAUGCAUCGUAGAUAGUGAUAACAAAUAAAAUCUUUGUUGUGAUUGAGUAAAUGAAGCUUACCUAUUUUUUCUUGUGCAGCAUUGUUAAAUUCUCCUCAUUAUCAUCCCCAUCAUCCACCUCAAGAAAGUACAUCUAACACAAUAGCAGAUGUUGUAAGCUUAAGGAAAACAACUUAAAUGUAAAAGCCAGCGACUCACAUCUUCUUCAUCAGUUACUUUCUGUUCCCCAGGAACAGUUAAUGAAACAGGUUGACGUCCCAACUCACUUGGAUAGACUUUCUGCAUUACUCUGCAACAGCUUGGGCCAAAGAAUCCUGGAGGCUCAACUUCCACAGCAGGUAUAACAGAAGUCUUGGGCUUCUUUUUGGUUUUGAUGACCAGUUCAUCUUUAUCAUUCCAAAUGUCAACCAUGCCAGAGUCUCCACCAGACGAAUCCUUUUGACCCUGUUGAGCAGUAUCCUUGGCUAUCUGAAGUUUACUUUUCUUCUUGGAUUUCUUCCCAGUUGAAGAAGGUACAGGUUCAACAAAGGCAUUGCUUUGUAGUAUACUAUCAUAUCGAAGUACUUUCUCCCGGUGUUUUUCAAUUUUCCGUUUGACAGAAAGAUCUCUGGAUUUGUCGACAUAAAAGAGAGAGUCACUGGGAACUUGAGCAAGAGAACCGCCUGAAAGAGCAUCUUUAGUGGAGUUGUCAAAGAAAUCUUCAAUAUCCUCCGUACUUAUGUUGGCUCUCCAUGCCUUCUUCCCUUUCCUUGAGCUCUUAUUCUUCCCCAUCUCUAAUCCGUCACGCUGAGAGAUAGAGAGUCGACAGACGAGAGUUUUGCUGCGCCGCUGUGCUUGCUGGUCGCCGACACAGUGUCUCUGAGAGUUCAGAGAACAAAAAAGAGAGAGCUGGAGGCUGUGGCCUGUGAGUUUU
rnacentral:misc_RNA from 1 species